UACGUAGGGUGCGAGCGUUAAUCGGAAUUACUGGGCGUAAAGCGUGCGCAGGCGGAUUGUUAAGCAAGAUGUGAAAUCCCCGGGCUUAACCUGGGAAUGGCAUUUUGAACUGGCAGUCUAGAGUGCGUCAGAGGGGGGUGGAAUUCCACGUGUAGCAGUGAAAUGCGUAGAGAUGUGGAGGAACACCGAUGGCGAAGGCAGCCCCCUGGGAUGACACUGACGCUCAUGUACGAAAGCGUGGGUAG
rnacentral:rRNA from 1 species